rnacentral:lncRNA from 1 species
GGGCUUUUCUGAGAAUGAACUGGAAAGUAAAAUUGCACAAAGAUGACAGAACACAAAAGGAGAAACAGCUGUGUGUGUUUAUAGGUGUGUGUGUGUGUGUGUGUGUGUGUGUGUGUGCAAAUAGCUACACAUACAGAAAUUUGUAUUGCAGUUUAGCUCCAACCACUAUUAAUACUUACAUUUGAAGCCAUUCAUACAUAGCUUUAAUAACUGGUGCAAUAAAAACAUAAUGUGGAGUGCUUCAAAGUAAGGUUACAUAAUUCGUUUUUAAUCUAUAGAGGUUUUUGGUUCGUGUAUAACUGGAAACUCUUUUGUCAGUGUUCCCAAAUCAUUAUCUAACAAGCUGGAUUGUUAUUCCUGGUUACAAGGCAGUGACAACAGUUUAUCCUUUGCUGCUAUUUUACAGCUUUUAUUCUAAUAUGGAUAUACGAAAUUGGAGGUGAAAAUGGUUAAUUUAAAACUUUACAUAAAAUGUAUUGGCAUUUCCUAAUUUUGAUGAAUUUUAUAUACUUUCUUAAGAAAGUAGAGCAAGCAUUGGCUACCCCUAAAGCAUAUCUAUACACCAUAAAAAAAUGUGCUAGCUGACACUAAAUAAAUCCCUUGGCUACUCACAACUCAGUAUUUCUGUUCCUCUUUGGUACACGCUAUCUAUCUUGUGAAUAUGAACUUGAAGUCCUUCUGAUUAGAGUACUAGUAUUUGAACAAUACUAACAUAGUCACAGCCAGUGUGAAAUACCACUUUCUCAAAGACACCUUCCUCAGACAUCAGCUGCCUUUUUUCCCCCACAUUUAGGGCUACCUAGAAACUCAGUUUCUCAGAUUCUGAAUGUAUAUCCCAAGGAAACAUGAAGACGCAUUGCUAAAUGAUUGGACAUUAAAAACAUUGCUAUAAGAUAGCGUGACAUUUAAACACAUGAGUUCCCAGAAUUCGAACAUACCAAUCCUGGGCAUUGCAGAAUCAUAUGAUGAUAAAAGCAUAAAAGCAUGCAGAUUUCUUUAUUAUCAGCUUCGCAAAAAUGAGUGCAGUGGUGUGGUUCCUGUUAGCUCUACUCAUUAGCUGAUGCAGCUUCCGGGUUAUACCUAUAUGUCAGCUUCAGACCACCCAAAGGCUGAAAUUAUGAAUUGUAAAUAUCUAUGCUUUUUGAUGGUCUUGGGUGACCCCUGUGAAAGGGUCACUUGACUCCCAAGGGGUCAGGGCCCAAAAGUUGAGAAUCACAGUUCUACCUCAUCUCCAUUCCCACAUACUUCAGCAUCAUAUAAAUCGCCUCAAGUUUAAUUCACUGAGGCAGCAAAAGUUAUCUCUGCUCUUUCCUCAGAGUUCAAAAUUGGUUUCAUUACCUACUAGUAGAAAUUCAUGUGUUAACUUUGAAGGGUCAUGUAUGUAUGUAUGUAUGUAUGCAUGUAUGUAUGUAUGUAUGUAUGGAGAGAGAGAGAGAUAGAGAGAUAGAGAGAGAGAGAGAGAGAGAGAGGGAGGGAGGGAGGGAGGGAGGGAGGGAGGGAGGGAGGGAGGGAGGGAGAGAGAUGUUUUCUACCAUUUUAGUGGGAGAAAAACCAAAUCAGAAUGCAGUCACCCCUAGAUACAGGGACUAGCUAAGAUGUUCAAUUGGUCCUGGGUGGCACUAGGCAAAGAAGCAGGGAAGGCUCUGUCCUUCAUGAGAACAGCACUAUGACUAUAAUUGACAACUUCUGUAACAGAUCAAAUGACCUUCUUUGCUUUUCACUUAAACAUCGUGCCUUUGCCCUUUCCUAUAUAGACCCAGGUAUGCCAUCUAUGGCACCUGGUCUGGUAGAGGAACUCAUUCCUUUUCCUUCCAUGCUGGUGUCAUUGCUAAAUGAGUGGUCAAUAAAAAUAUUGCUGCCUCCCAUAAGAUGGGAUAGUCAAAAGAUGUGCACAGCAACAAGUACUCACAGGAAAUACUGUGUAAGUUCUGUUGGAGUUCUUAGUUUUCAGGUUAUAUGCACCCUGCUGACGUCCUCCUUCCAGAGCAGAUCCUCGGAAUGCUUAGUAUUCUCAAAAGGAAGGAUUAUCCCAGCCAUGAAAUGAUAACCCAAAUGUUUUCUUUUCUCAUGAUUUCUCUGUUAUUUGAGCUAUUUCAUGUUACAAUCUUUAAUAAUUCAUAUGUAUUUUAAAAUGGCACUACUAACAUCAUAUAGUUGCAUGAGGGAUGAACUAGCUGAUAGGCAUAGCUGUUCAGGACAGUGACUAACAUGUGGUAAAUACUCCAAAAUAUCAGUAGACUUGUUACAAAAUUUAUUCAUUGCUGGUGACUGCUAUAGCAUAGUGGCCCACACUGAGUCUCUCAAAGUAGCAGUGUGUUAUUAUCUCACAAUUCUGAAGUCACAAAGUUGGCAGAGCCUCCCUUGCUGGAUUCUAGAUUCUGAUCCUUUGCAGAUACAGCUGGCGUUUUCUUUGGAAGCCUGUGGAAGCAUCACUGUCAUCCCAUCCUUAUCUUGACUGGGUGUUCUCCUUGGGUUCCUGUCUUAACGUGGUCAUCUUAUGAGGUGAGCAGUUAUACUGGACUAGGAGUCGAUUUUGCUCCAGGAUGACUUCAGUGUAGAUCUGACAUCAAUCUAUUUCCUAAGAAGGCCACAUUCUGAGAUACUGGUGUUAUAUUCAGCACUUUGAUACAAUUAAACCUAGAGUUAUGUCCCAUAUCUAUACUAACCUUUGUUUCUGCUAGUUCUCCAAGCUGAGGUUGUUUUCUUUCUACAUAUCCUGUGAUCCCUGCCCACCUACUGUCUUAGAUAUUGAGCUGCUUUCCAUCCUUAUGCCUCUCUCCAUUCUUCUGUCACCGUUGGGGAUUCCUUAUUGAUGUCUUCCUUCCUUCUCACCUCUGCACAUGCGCUAAGAGAAACUUUCUCCCGAACCAUCUAGGUUUACCUUCUG